AAAUGAAUUGACGGGGGCCCGCACAAGCAGCGGAGCAUGUGGAUUAAUUCGACGCAACGCGAAGAACCUUACCAAGGCUUGACAUCCCCUGAUGAACCUGGAAACAGGAAGUCUCUUCGGAGCAGGGAGACAGGUGGUGCAUGGUUGUCGUCAGCUCGUGUCGUGAGAUGUUGGGUUAAGUCCCGCAACGAGCGCAACCCUUACAUUCAGUUACCAGCGGGUAGAGCCGGGGACUCUGGAUGGACUGCCGAGGACAACUCGGAGGAAGGUGGGGAUGACGUCAAAUCAUCAUGCCCCUUAUGUCUUGGGCUUCACACGUGCUACAAUGGCCGUAACAAAGGGAAGCAAGAGAGUAAUCUGGAGCGGAACCGAGAAAAGCGGUCUCAGUUCGGAUUGUGGGCUGCAACCCGCCCACAUGAAGAUGGAGUUGCUAGUAAUCGCGAAUCAGCAUGUCGCGGUGAAUGCGUUCCCGGGCCUUGUACACACCGCCCGU
rnacentral:rRNA from 1 species